UAACGUCAGCGGCAGACGGGUGAGUAACGCGUGGGAACGUACCUUUUGGUUCGGAACAACACAGGGAAACUUGUGCUAAUACCGGAUAAGCCCUUACGGGGAAAGAUUUAUCGCCGAAAGAUCGGCCCGCGUCUGAUUAGCUAGUUGGUGAGGUAAUGGCUCACCAAGGCGACGAUCAGUAGCUGGUCUGAGAGGAUGAUCAGCCACACUGGGAUUGAGAACGGCCCAG
rnacentral:rRNA from 1 species